GGGUCAGUGGGUUGGUCGUGCCACCGGUACGUACUGGUCUCACUGAUUCCUCCUUCCUGAAGAACCGUAAUGCCAUUAAUUUGGUGUUGCGGGGAAACAGGACUGUUACUUUGAAAAAAUUAGAGUGUUUAAAGCAAGCUAACGCUUGAAUACAUUAGCAUGGAAUAAUGAAAUAGGACGAUCGAUCCUAUUUUGUUGGCUUCUAGGAUUGACGUA
rnacentral:rRNA from 1 species